rnacentral:misc_RNA from 1 species
GGCCAGUCGCGUUCCUCUCGCUGGUUAUGCAGCGGUGUCCCUCCCGCGCGCAUGUGUGUUAUAAAACCGACCCGAUCCCUACAUAGAAGCGAUACGCAGGUUACACGUCGCGAUCCGUCGGUGGUUUAGAAUCAUGUGCGCGCGAAUUAAAGUGAUCAGUGAGUAGCCUCUACGCAUCGUUGAUUUGCGUUCUACUUCGCACUUCGUCGGCGUUCAAUCUGUGCAGGUCUCGCAGAUGGCGACGAAGGCUGCGCACGGUACUGAAAGUGGCGCAGCAGAUGUGACACUUGGUGCGUCCCUCGUGGUGCGUGCGGUGAUCGUAGAGGGAGUCGCGGCGCCGGUAGACUGCGCCGCAAAUGUCGCAUUGGAACCCAGCCGCGGUGCGGCAGUCCCCGCCGCCGCUCGGGAGGAGAGCGGGAGCGACCGGCCAGACGGCGCGACCUGGAAGGAAGGCGAGAGAAGUGAACAACAAGACGACACGAAUGUAAACGACUGCCUCGCUCACCAAACCCCACCAGCCAUGAGUACCAGCCGCACGGGAAAGAAGCGUCGGCGCCCGGCGUCGCGCUCCGCCCGCGCGGGACUUCAGUUUCCCGUGGGUCGUAUUCAUCGGUAUAUGAAGAGCAGCGAGAUGCGACUACGACGGGUGGCCGUGGGAGCUCCCAUCUACACUGCGGCAGUCAUGGAAUAUCUCAGCGCCGAACUUUUGGAGCUGGCCGGUAAUGCUGCCCGGGACAACAAGAAGAGCCGGAUCACACCGCGACAUCUACUGCUGGCCAUUGCCAAUGACGAGGAGCUUCACACGUUCUUGCGUGGCGUUACGAUACCUCAGGGAGGUGUACUGCCCCGGGUCCAUCCCCUUCUUCUGAUGAAGAAGGGAGACCCGAAUGCGUCAUCGACGACAGCGGUGCCCCCGCAGUAUUCGGCGUCCUCAGUGGUGACCCCGGCGCAGAAAAAGGUCGGCGUGGUGGCGCCCACACCGCGACCCAAAAAAAGCUUCUGGAAAAGGAGCAAAGGCCAACGCCAGUCUGAAUCCGCUGUACAAGAAGAAGCUCUUCCUUGGACAAACGCUACACGUGGUCCAGGGGGACAUCGCCGCGGCCAAUGUGCAGGCGGUGGUCCACCCGACCGGUUCCAAGUUCCCCCUGGCGGGUCAGGUGGGGGCUGCUCUGGAGGCCGCCGAGGGGUUCCAGCUGAAGAAGGCGCUGGAUGAGCUGAUGAAGAAUCAUGGCCCGCUGGCGCCCUGUGGAGCCACGCUGUCUCCGACCAGUCACGUGCCCGCCGACUGGAUCAUACACGUGAACGGGCCCACACACUCGGAUACGAACGUGGAGGACAAGCUGGCCAAGUCUGUAAAGAACUGUCUGGCGGUGGCAGACCAGAAGAACUUGGC